CUCUCUCUAUUUCUUCUGCUGUUUGCCGAAUGCCGACCUCAUGUUUGUUUCCCGAGAAAUCGUUUUCUCGGCUGGGAAAUCCGGGCCCGGUUAUCCGAUGUGUCGGCGUCGGCGAUAGUGCAAUAUCCAAUUUGCUUCCCUUCUCAUGCCUGAGGAUUUGACAGAGGAAUGAGAAUAGGGGAGAGAAGAGGGAGGCAACAGUUCAAAGAUUGAAGCUGGGUUGCAUGAGGUGAGAGUAGGGUUGAUAAUAGAAAGUGGAAGCAAGGAAGAGCAAGAACAAUUUCUCUGAACAAUGUGAUCGAACAUGGAUUAGAAUAUGGUUCAUUCAAGCCUUAUAACCAUCGCCGUUGAAGAAGGAACUACAGAUUUAUUAUCAUCAGCAGAAACAAGAACAACAAGGAAUUUCUCUGAAACAAAAUAUCUACCGGAGCAACCAGAUCGGCAACUGUUCUUGAAAGGAGUUCCCAGAAGAAAGAGUUUCCUCUGU